AUACGGAGGGUGCAAGCGUUAAUCGGAAUUACUGGGCGUAAAGCGCGCGUAGGCGGUCAGGUCAGUCGGAUGUGAAAGCCCCGGGCUCAACCUGGGAACUGCAUUCGAUACUGCCUGACUAGAGUAUGGUAGAGGGAAGUGGAAUUUCCGGUGUAGCGGUGAAAUGCGUAGAUAUCGGAAGGAACACCAGUGGCGAAGGCGGCUUCCUGGACCAAUACUGACGCUGAGGUGCGAAAGCGUGGGGAGCAAACAGGAUUAGAAACCCUAGUAGUCC
rnacentral:rRNA from 1 species